AUUGAACGCUGGCGGCAGGCUUAACACAUGCAAGUCGAGCGGGGUGAUGGUGCUUGCACUAUCACUUAGCGGCGGACGGGUGAGUAAUGCUUAGGAAUCUGCCUAUUAGUGGGGGACAACAUCUCGAAAGGGAUGCUAAUACCGCAUACGUCCUACGGGAGAAAGCAGGGGAUCACUUGUGACCUUGCGCUAAUAGAUGAGCCUAGGUCGGAUUUGCUAGUUGGUGGGGUAAAGGCUUACCAAGGCGACGAUCUGUAGCGGGGCUGAGAGGAUGAUCCGCCCCACUGGGACUGAGACACGGACCAGACUCCUACGGGAGGCAGCAGUGGGGAAUAUUGGACAAUGGGGGGAACCCUGAUCCAGCCAUGCCGCGUGUGUGAAGAAGGCCUUAUGGUUGUAAAGCACUUUAAGCGAGGAGGAGGCUCUUUUGGUUAAUACCCAAGAUGAGUGGACGUUACUCGCAGAAUAAGCACCGGCUAACUCUGUGCCAGCCGCCGCAGUAA
rnacentral:rRNA from 1 species